GUGAGUCGCAGAAGGAGCCGCAGCCGGAGUCACAGCCGCAGCCAGAGCCGCAGCCAAAGCCUCAGAGAGCAGGAGUUGGAGCUCAGGCCCUGCUGGAACCGCGCCUAGCUCGCCGCCAGGCACCGGCCGGAGCACGGGCCGUGGUGUCAGCUCACUGCCCGGGCACUGUGGGAGGCAGCAAGCCCGCGAUCCCCCGGGCCGGGCACCACAAGGCGCGGAGCCCGGAUCGCCCCCCUGCCAGGCCUCGUCACGGCCAGAGCACGCAGGAGUUCCCAGGGUCUGGAUCUGCGCGCACCCUAAUGACCUGGGGACUGAAGAGAAAAAAGGAACGAGGAUUUCAUCUAAAAGCAUAACGUGGGCACUAGGCGAGGAGGAGAGUGAAGACCACCUGGCACGGGGCAGAGGUGCCUGGAGCCCACGCUUGAGCAUCGGAGACCCUGGCAUCCUAGCAGCCGCGACCUUGGCUCUGCCCUGUCUUAGCUGGAAACACAGCUUAGCUCCUAGACAUCGCUGGCACAGGCCUGGCACAAGUAAGCAGUGUUCUCACCUGUCUGAAACGGGACACGGGGUCGGAGGAACCAGGAUCUAGCCUGGCCCCAAGCGGAACUCUCUGGUGGCCCAGAGGUGGUCACUGGGGAGCCCGCCUCCUGCCCUAGCCCCACUGGUGCGGAUGUGCCGCUGCCCGCCGGAGCACCAUGAUGGCAGGAUGACCUCAGCCGAAGUAGCAGCAGCAGCUGGUGGUGCUCGGGCGGCUGGGCCCCCCGAGUGGCCCCCUGGCAGCCCUCAGGCCCUCCGGCAGCCUGGCCGGGCCCGGGUGGCCAUGGCAGCACUGGUGUGGCUGCUGGCGGGAGCCAGCAUGUCAAGCCUCAACAAAUGGAUCUUCACAGUGCACGGCUUUGGGCGGCCCCUACUGCUGUCGGCCCUGCACAUGCUGGUGGCAGCUCUGGCAUGCCACCGGGGGGCACGGCGCCCCAUGCCAGGCGGCACUCGCUGCCGAAUCCUACUGCUCAGUCUCACCUUCGGCACUUCCAUGGCCUGUGGCAACGUGGGCCUAAGGGCUGUGCCCCUGGACCUGGCACAACUGGUCACUACCACCACGCCUCUGUUCACCCUGGCCCUGUCGGCACUGCUGCUGGGCCGCCGCCACCACCCGCUGCAGUUGGCCGCCAUGGGCCCGCUCUGCCUGGGGGCCGCCUGCAGCCUGGCUGGAGAGUUCCGGACACCCCCCACCGGCUGUGGCUUCCUGCUCGCAGCCACCUGCCUCCGCGGACUCAAGUCGGUUCAGCAAAGUGCCCUGCUGCAGGAGGAGAGGCUGGACGCGGUGACCCUGCUCUACGCCACCUCGCUGCCCAGCUUCUGCCUGCUGGCGGGUGCAGCCCUGGUGCUGGAGGCUGGCGUCGCCCCACCACCCGCUGCUGGCGACUCUCGCCUCUGGGCCUGCAUCCUGCUCAGCUGCCUCCUGUCUGUUCUCUAUAACCUGGCCAGCUUCUCCCUGCUGGCCCUCACCUCUGCCCUCACCGUCCAUGUCCUGGGCAACCUCACCGUGGUGGGCAACCUCGUCCUGUCCCGGCUGUUGUUUGGCAGCCGCCUCAGUGCCCUCAGCUACGUGGGCAUCACCCUCACUCUUUCAGGAAUGUUCCUUUACCACAACUGCGAGUUUGUGGCCUCCUGGGCUGCCCGUCGGGGUCUGUGGCGGAGGGACCAGCCCAGCAAGGGUCUUUGAGACCUGGGGGAUCUCAGGAGCCACCUGGGAUGGCCCUGGCCUGAAUCCAGCCUCAGCCGUGGCCACAGAAAGAAUGGAGAACAGGGCUGGGCAUGGUGGCUCACGCCUAUAAUCCCAGCACUUCCAGAGUCCGAGCUACCUCUCCUGGAGACCACCUGUUAAAGAUGAUAAGGACCCAGGUUGGAGUGAGAACACCUGGAACCUAAUCCUGCUCUGCCCACCUGACUGGGAGCCUCCCCUCCCUAGGCUUCAGCUUCCAGAUCUUCAAAAUGGAACUGAUGAUCCCUAUGGAGAGGGUUCGAACGAGAAGCGCUGGGCAGGGCCAGGAGUGAGGAAGGAGCAGCAGUAGCAGUGGCGGCCAGAAAAGCACCUAAAACUCUGACAGAGCGGAAUCCUUUCAUCUGCCCGAAGCAUCUGCGAUCCUGAAAAGCAGAAGAGGGGAAUCUCCGUUGCCUUUUUUCUCUCUUCAUCCUGUCACCUGGCCCAAGAGUACACCCCGCCAUGGAAGGUAUGUAACAGAGCAGGGAGACUAAGGUCCCAAUUUCUAGCUAAAGGGCCAGGAAAAUGAGGGGUCUUGAAAGCUGGAGAGUGUGGGGGAGAAUGUGGACAGGAGAGAGCUUGUGAAAUAGAUCCCAUAAAGUUGCACGUGAAUUUGCAGGCUCACAUGCAUGGAUCCAACCCUAAACAGUAUUCCAGUGAAUGAGAACUGAACUAUUAGGCAGAACACCCAGGUUUCAGACUGGUCACUGGGUGGCAUAAGCUUAGGACUGUUCUGAUUUACAUGGCAAAGGCUUUGAAACAGAACUGAUAUUGGAACUACAACAGCCCACAGGAGACAGAUCAGAACUGAACCUACGAGGGUUAACUGCCUCCUAAAACAAAAACCCGACAUUUUCCGUGGGAUUUAAACGACCUAUUCAAAAUGCUUGGGAUACAAUCAAAAUUACACACACAGAACGAGGAAAGUCUGGACCCUGAGAUGACCCAGAUGUUGGAAUUAUCAGAAAAAGACCUUUUUUUUUUUUUUUUUUGGCGAUGGGAUUUCAUUCUUGCUGCUCAGGCUUAAGUUUAAUAGCGUGAUCUUGGCUCACUGCAACCUCCGCCUCCUGGGUUCAAGCGAUUCUCCUGCCUCAGC